rnacentral:rRNA from 1 species
UGGGGAAUCUUGCACAAUGGGGGAAACCCUGAUGCAGCGACGCCGCGUGAGCGAUGAAGGUUUUCGAAUCGUAAAGCUCUGUCCUAUGGGAAGAUAAUGACGGUACUAUGGGAGGAAGCCCCGGCUAACUACGUGCCAGCAGCCGCGGUAAUACGUAGGGGGCGAGCGUUGUCCGGAAUUACUGGGCGUAAAGGGUUCGCAGGCGGCAUGGCAAGUCCGAUGUAAAAGGCGAAGGCUCAACCUUCGUAAGCAUCGGAAACUGUCAAGCUUGAGUGAAGGAGAGGCAAGUGGAAUUCCUAGUGUAGCGGUGGAAUGCGUAGAUAUUAGGAGGAAUACCGGUGGCGAAGGCGACUUGCUGGACUUCAACUGACGCUGAGGAACGAAAGCGUGGGUAGCAAACAGG